ACGUACACUCCUACGGGAGGCAGCAGUGAGGAAUCUUGGACAAUGGGUGGAAGCCUGAUCCAGCCAUCCCGCGUGCAGGAAGACGGCCCUAUGGGUUGUAAACUGCUUUUAUCUGGGGAUAAACCUACUUACGUGUAAGUAGCUGAAGGUACCAGAAGAAUAAGCACCGGCUAACUCCGUGCCAGCAGCCGCGGUAAUACGGAGGGUGCAAGCGUUAUCCGGAUUUAUUGGGUUUAAAGGGUCCGUAGGCGGACUGAUAAGUCAGUGGUGAAAUCCGACAGCUUAACUGUCGAACUGCCAUUGAUACUGUUAGUCUUGAGUAAGGUUGAAGUGGCUGGAAUAAGUAGUGUAGCGGUGAAAUGCAUAGAUAUUACUUAGAACACCAAUUGCGAAGGCAGGUCACUAAGUCUUAACUGACGCUGAUGGACGAAAGCGUGGGGAGCGAACAGGAUUAGAAACCCCGGUAGUCCCAUGAU
rnacentral:rRNA from 1 species